AACGAACGCUGGCGGCAGGCUUAACACAUGCAAGUCGAACGCACCUUUCGGGGUGAGUGGCAGACGGGUGAGUAACGCGUGGGAAUCUACCCUUCUCUACGGGAUAGCUCCGGGAAACUGGAAUUAAUACCGUAUACGUCCUGAGGGAGAAAGAUUUAUCGGGGAAGGAUGAGCCCGCGUUGGAUUAGCUAGUUGGUGGGGUAAAGGCCUACCAAGGCGACGAUCCAUAGCUGGUCUAAGAGGAUGAUCAGCCACAUUGGGGCUGAGACACAGCCCAAACUCCUACGGGAGGCAGCAGUGGGGAAUAUUGGACAAUGGGCUCAAGCCUGAUCCAGCCAUGCCGCGUGAGUGAUGAAGGCCCUAGGGUUGUAAAGCUCUUUCAGUGGGGACGAUAAUGACGGUACCCACAGAAGAAGCCCCGGCUAACUUCGUG
rnacentral:rRNA from 1 species